UACGUAGGGUGCAAGCGUUUAAUCGGAAUUACUGGGCGUAAAGCGUGCGCAGGCGGUUGGGCAAGACAGAUGUGAAAUCCCCGGGCUUAACCUGGGAAUGGCAUUUGUGACUGCCCCGGCUAGAGUGUGUCAGAGGGGGGGUAGAAUUCCACGUGUAGCAGUGAAAUGCGUAGAGAUGUGGAGGAAUACCGAUGGCGAAGGCAGCCCCCUGGGAUAACACUGACGCUCAUGCACGAAAGCGUGGGGAGCAAACAGG
rnacentral:rRNA from 1 species